rnacentral:rRNA from 1 species
CCUACGGGUGGCUGCAGUGGGGAAUAUUGGGCAUUGGGCGCAAGCCUGACCCAGCAACGCCGCGUGAAGGAAGAAGGCUUUCGGGUUGUAAACUUCUUUUCUUAGAGACGAAGAAUGAUACGGUUCCUCCUUAAUAAUCCUCCGUUAACUACGUGCCAGCAGCCGCGGUAAUCCGUAGGCGGCAAGCCUUAUUCGGAUUCAUUGGGUGUAAAGGUAGUGUAGGCGGGAAGGCAAGUCUGAGGGGAAAGCUUGGGGCUCAACCGGGAGACUGCAUUUGAAACUGGUUGUCUUGAGUGCUGAAGAGGUAAGCGGAAUUCGAGGUGUAGCGGUGAAAUGCGUAGAUAUAAGGAGGAACACCAGUGGCGAAGGCGGAUUGCU